ensembl:lncRNA
GCCGCAGCUCGCCUGCCAAGUGGUUUUCUUAAUCAGUUAAUUGGUUGCAUCUGGUGCGUUUCACUUAAGAGGGAGCCGGACAGUACGUUGGAGUCCUCCACUGUUUGGCAAAAGUCUGUUGUGACUUUAUUUGACAUCUCUUCCUGUUUCACAGGUUAAAGACUUUGAAGUAAAGAGGAGCAUCUCAUCUGAACCUGAUGUCUAGCAUGGAUAUUUAACUGCAGUUCUGUGAGUAUCCCAACUUAACCAUCAAGAUGAACUGCAAACUGUAAGUCAUAAGUUUCUCAUUAAUAUUGGGCACAUUGAUGUAUUUUGGCUUCCUGGUGAGUUAACCCGUUACCUGAAGGUUGAUUUGAGUAGUAAGGAUGUUUUAUUGGUUCAUGAGUUACUUAGGUGUUUGGUUUAUAUUGGUUUUAAUGAUUUGUUUAAAAGGUUACAGGCUCCAAGUUAUUGUUGUAAGCUGGAGUAAUGGUUUGGGUUCUGAUGUCCUCAGUCUUCUUUCCAGCUGCUCUGCAUCUUCAUCACAUGAGCGUUGCUUUACUGAUGAGGGUGUGAUCUGAGUGAGCAGAGGUGCAUACUGGGAUACAGAGCUGUCUGAAGUCUACAGGUCUGUAGACGCGCCCCCUCAGGGGAAACCAAGUGUUUGAGAAACCGUCGUGACGUCAGUUACAUGGACUGGAAUGUUCUUUAAGAUGGAGACAGGGAUUCAGAAGGAGAAACACCAGGGGGAGAUGAGGGGACUCCUCAUCUCAACGACAAAAACACAACUUCAGUCUGACACAGAGAACCAUGGAACACAUUCAAAAGUCCCCGCCAGGCAUCCUGACUCCUCAGGAGCAGUUUCAUUACCAAGAAGGUCUUAUUUGGGGCCAUCCCCAGAUGGAUCCUGCUCCUCAAGAGCCACCCCCCUCCACUGGGUGGUCUUCUGAACAGAUGACCUCCUUCCUGUCCUCAGGCUGACUGAAGCAAAACCGCUUGCAUCUGUGAAUGCUCCUCAUUCAGGAAACCACUGGACUACAAAGACAUGACUUCAUAGAAGUCGAAUCAACCUUGGAGACAUUUUGGAGACGCCAAGCAUAAUCCAUCACCAAUGUGGGACGCCACUGAAAAAUGUUGUACAUCAUUUCCUUCUCUGGAGGCAUUGGUUGUUCUGUUCUGGGUGCCCUGGCAGGAGAGCUGGGGUUGGAUGAUGGAACGUUGUUUGGCAUGAGGUUUUUACCCUGCAUGAUUGUUUGGCCUUUUAUGGCUCGGUGGUGUGUGUGUUUGGGUUUGACAUGAGAUGGAUGAUUUUUGUGCAUCCCUAGGGUUCUACUGUGUGUGUCUCCCACUCACACCUGGCAUGGGGUUCUUCGUGUGAAUCCUUGGAUCUAUGUGUGUGUGUAUCCGGCUUGCUUUGACAGUGAUAAUGUUCAUAUGGAGGUCUGUGUGAUUGGCUUGGGAUAUCGGAAUGGUCAAAUAAAUCAUACCUGAUGGACGGCCACAUGUUUAUUUAAAGGCAUCCAGUAGACAUGAAGAGCCCAGAGCGACGCUGCGGAGCGAGAUCCAACACACUGGGCAGGAAGGAGAGUAUCCAACUCAAGUGCAAAAGUAUGCAAGCGGCGUGUUCAGAUCAGUGACUUCAAACUAGGACUAAACCAAUCGGGAUCAAUGGAGGAUGGACACCUAAAGGAAAGUCUGACGUUGGAAAGGGACCUAAAUGGAUAUUCAAGAUGACCUUCAGACCUGUACUGAGACGGCUCUUCCUACCUGGCUGGAUUGAUGGAGAGCCCUGUGGAUCUUGUCUUUUUCUCAGUUGCACGUCUACUCAGGCUGAACUGUAUUUGUUUCGGACAGGACUAGCUGAACGAUUGGUUCCCUUAAAUCAGAACCAAUCUGGGAACUCCAACUAGUGCGCUCUUCGAGCUGAAGUUGUGCUCUUCAGCUGAGGAGGUAAGGAAACCCUCACUGAGGCUUCAAGGUGUAAAGAGGAGGAUGUUUCAAAGUGUUCCAUGGUACUCUGAUAAAGACCGUUGUUGUGUUCCACUGGCUGAGAGGAAGAACCCUCACAUCUUCCUCUUGGCCUUUCUCCUCUGAGAAUCCUGGCGCCAUCUUGAAGGAUAAUCCUGCUCAUGUAACUGAUGUCACGACAGAUUCUCAAACACUUGGUUUCUCCUGAGGGGCGUGUCUAUAGAACUGAAGACUUCAGACAGCACUGUAUCCCAGCAUGCAUCUCUGCUCACUCAGACCACACCCCCAUGAGUAGGAUGAAACGCUCUAGUGAUGGAGAUGCAGAGUUUUAUAAGUAACGAGGGAGCAGACGAAGGUGAUUAGAACACAAUGGCAUGUCAGGUCUGUAAAUCUUUAAACCAUGAGGAUGGUUGGAUAGUUCAGGAAUUGGGCUUCUUUUUAUUAUGGGCAGUCCUUUCGGUCAGAUGCCAACUUCUCACUGGACCUGUACAUGUGUUGGCUGGCUGGCAUGAUUUGCUGUUGGUGAUGAGUCGGUCAGGGUGACGUUGCAGGGCUAUGGUCGGCUCUCUGUGAGCUCAAAGUUUAGAUUUGCUCUGUAUGGUUUGUACCCUGAAUAAUCUAGAUAAUUGUAAAAUGUAGACACGGUUUUGUAUUGAAUGAUUUUAGCUUUAAAGUUGUUGUGAGACGUACCUGGUAGUUUUGGUUCUUACGUUUUUGAGUGAUAACUUGUACACACUGGGUGCAUAAUAAUGUAAAGGUACACUGAAUAGUAGUAAUGACCAACAGCAACAAACGGAUCUCCUCAAGGUAAGUCUGUUGGCUGUGUUUUAAUGAAGAUCAUCGCUGGACUUCAGGAUCUUCCUCCGCUCAGCUCAAGGUGAGGCGCUGGUUCUGUUUUUUCUUUGGUUGGUUCCGGCCGGAAUGUUCGGAUUCCGGUCGGACGGUUUGUGCUUCCUGCCGUGGAAGGUUCUGAGUGCGGUCACUUGAUUUAGUCCCAAUGGUUAGCAUAGAACGUUAUAGUCUUGACGACCAUAAGAAACCACCUGGUAGUUAGUUGGACGGGAGUCCCCUGAGGGAAUCUGGCAGAACGUUCUGGAUUGUAUUUGCGUAACCUCGAGCCGUUGCCAACGGAAACAAUUUUUUCAGUUGUUUCCAUCGGGAAUUGUUUCCCCUUAUCUUAAACAACUUAACUUUGAUAUUUAAUACAUACUGACACACGUACGUCGUACAAUAUGUUGAUAAUUUCCGAUGGUUACGCCGUACUUUUAACCACAAUGACGUGACCGGACUCUCGCUGCGUACAAAACAGCGUUCUAUUUGGGGCCCAUUUUUGACAUCGGAGAAGGCUGAAAAUCAUUUCAAGGUGGAAGACAAUUUGACAUUUCUUCAACGGAACCCAGCACCUGAAUAUGGCUGAGUAUAUUUGAUUUAAUAUUGAUACUGCUUAGUGUUCUUUGUUACUUCAGCUUUUGUACGUUCUAAAAAUCUGCUGUCAUUAAUUGCCACAGAAGUUAAACCCUACCAAAUGGAAUGAUGCUAAACAACGACUUUGGUGCCGAGUUACCAACUGGAUAAUAUCAAAGCUAAAAUAAUGGCCGUCCUUCCCACAUGUUACUGUAGAAGAUACUAUAGAACUGUACAAGGUUAAAAAGGUAACGUGUAGUUUCUCCCAAGGUGUCUGCCUCCUCACCCAGAGCCAGACCUCCACCUCCUCACCCAGAGCCAGACCUCCACCUCCUCACCCAGAGCCAGACCUCCACCUCCUCCCCCAGAGCCAGACCUCCACCUCCUGUCAGAAGUCCUCCAGAACAGCUGAAAGGUGAGGCUGAGAGACUGGGGACCGGAGGCUUGUGGUGCCAGGAUGGACCAGAGACUGAGGCUGGAGACCAGGGGCCUGCAGCACCGGACCAGAGGACCAAGAAUCCAUGGCUGAAGGAGCUGAUGGAGGAGCCGUGCUGAAGGAGUUGAUGGAGGAGCCGUGCUGAAGGAGCUGUUGGAGGAGCUGAUGGAGGAGCCGAGCUGAUGGAGGUGUCGUGCUGAAGGCCCUGCCUGGUGGAGGCCCUGCCUGGUGAAGGAUGUCUGUCGUGGGACCAGGACUCUGUCGGAGGAGAGCUGCUGGAGGACGACUAGGAAUCGACCAACAAGGAUUCCUCAAUGUGUUUCUGGAGCGGAGGCGAGUUGGUAGGGGAGCCGCAAAUCUGGAGGACGACAUCACUCCACCAACCAGGAUCCUCGUCUAUCAUGGACAUGUAACUGCAGUUCUAACGUGUUUCUGGUGCGGAGGCAAGUUGGUAGGGGAGCCGCAAAUCUGGAGGAUGACCAUCACUCGACCAACAAGGAUUGCUUGUGCUGUUUGUUCCAGACCAGGACUCUGGCUGAGGAGAGCUGAUGGAGGAGCCAAGACUCUGGAGGACGACAUCACUCUGCCAACUUGUUGGAACGCAGGAUUAGUUUGUCCAGUAAAAGGUAUGACAUACUACUGUGGUUGUUUACCAGACAAACUACAGCUUACAUUAGAGCCCAACUACUACUGUGUUUGUUACCUUUCAUUAGAGACAAAUUACUACUGUGUUUGUUACCUUACAUUAGAGCCGAACUACUCCUGUGUUUGCUACCUUACAUUAGAGACAAAUUACGUUUGUAACCAGACCAUGAAUCUGGAGGACUGAUGGAGAAGCCGUACAUCUAGAAGGCAAAUCCUGAGGACAACCAGAACUCUACCAUCAAGGAUUCCUCACACACCUGAACUGAACCUCACCUGAUCCUGUUUGGUCGGGGAUAGAAUCACCUGAGCUGAACCCUACCUGAUCCUGUUUGGUCGGGGGUAGAACCACCUGAGCUGAACCCGCCCUGAUCCUGACAUCCUGCUGGUCCUGUCUCCUCAGUUCAUCUGCGCCUCGUCCUCCAGAUGACCUGCUGAGCUCAGCGGUCUAAGGCUGAUGGAUCACUGACCUCCAGUGGGAGUGGUCUUCUUGACCCCACGUGUAACCGUGUGCUUCCACACGCCUUUCCCUCACGUCUGUCACUAACCUCACUACUCUCUACUGCUUCCUCUUCUUCUUCCUUCUCUGUGGUUCGAACCUUUACACUGAAGGCGCGUCUUCCUGCCCUCAGAGGGUUCAGCGUUAGGGUUGAGAGUCAGGGUUUAGAGUCAGGGACAGAGCUGGUCAGGGUGGACUGCUUUUACACAAACCUCUUCACUUGCUUUCGGAAUGGUGGUGACAUUUUGAAAAGAUUCAUUCGGGAAAAUGUUUUCCUCUGCUUCCCUUUACAAAAUUGUAUUAAUCUUCUGUCAAGUGUUUUUGUUUAUAUAUUAAAAUCCCACAUUGACUUCUACAUGUUUGGUGCGGUUCAUUUAUUUGUCCUUUAACUUGGUUAAUGUCAAGCUAAACUCCUGCAAUACAUUUAAUAUACAUGAUUGUUAUUCAGCAAUGUUCACAUA